GAUGAACGCUGGCGGCGUGCCUAACACAUGCAAGUCGAGCGAACCCUUCGGGGUGAGCGGCGGACGGGUGAGUAACGCGUGGGUAACCUGUCCUAUACACACGGAUAACGUACCGAAAGGUACGCUAAUACGGGAUAAAGUUGUUGGAUGGCAUCUUCUAACAAUCAAAGCUCCGGCGGUAUAGGAUGGACCCGCGUCUGAUUAGCUAGUUGGUGAGGUAAUGGCUCACCAAGGCGACGAUCAGUAGCCGACCUGAGAGGGUGAUCGGCCACACCGGAACUGAGACACGGUCCAGACUCCUACGGGAGGCAGCAGUGGGGAAUAUUGCACAAUGGGCGAAAGCCUGAUGCAGCAACGCCGCGUGAGCGAUGAAGGUCUUCGGAUCGUAAAGCUCUGUCCUCAAGGAAGAUAAUGACGGUACUUGAGGAGGAAGCCCCGGCUAACUACGUGCCAGCAGCCGCAGUAA
rnacentral:rRNA from 1 species